rnacentral:rRNA from 1 species
UAUUGGUCAAUAGCCUAACGGCUGAACCAGCAAUUUGCAAUAAUGGGGAUAGGUAUUUCUAAUGAGACCUGCAGCUGAUACUGCCUAGAUCCAGUGGUUUAUCCACAAGAAGUUAUGGGUAUAAUAAAGAUAAUGACUAUUUUAUGCUCAUUAGGUCUCGACAAAAUCACGUGCCAGCAGUCGCGGUAAUACGGGAGAGACUAGUGUUAUUCAUCUUUAAUAGGUUUAAAGGGUACCUAGACAGUUAAUUUAGCUCCAACCAUAGAGUACAAAUUAUACUAGAGUUUUAUGUAAGAGAAUAAGUUUAGUACUAAUAGAGUAGAGAUGAAAUUUUUUGAUACUAUUAUGAACUGGUAACGGCGAAAGCAAAUCUCCAUGUAAAAACUGACGUUGAGGGACGAAGGCAUUGGUAACAAACAGGAUUAGAUACCCUAAUAGUCUUUGCAGUCAAUGAUGAGUGCCAUAGUUAAAAAUUUUUUAUCUAUAAAUGAAAGUGUAAGCACUCCACCUCAAGAGUAAUGUGGCAACGCAGGAACUGAAAUCAUUAGACCGUUUCUGAAACCAGUAGUGAAGUAUGUUGUUUAAUUUGAUGGUCCGCAAAAAACCUUACCACAGUUUGGAUAUAUUUAGUGGUAUUAUUACUAAUAUUGCUAUUUAUACAAGUGUUGCAUGGCUGUCUUUAGCUAAUGUCGUGAGACGCAGGUUAGAUCCAUUAAAAUAGCGAAAUCCCAUGCUUUAUUCUUUUUUUAUAAGGCAGUUCUCCGGUACAUCGGAUAAGAUAACAGGGAUUAAGACAAGUAAUCAUGACCUU